CAUGGCCAGCUUUCUGAUAUCACCACCUUCUGCCACCACCACCUUUCCGGGAACAAGAGACAGAAGCACACUCAUGCUACAUUUGGAGCCCCUGCACUAUAACAUGGAUGGCAGAGAAAUUGUGGAAAACAUGGUUGUGACCUUUCCAGGAAGAGGAUCAUUCACACCCAUGCUGGAAUCUCCCUGUCUUUUUUGUUAGUUAAGAAAAGAACUAAACGUAAGCAAGUUUGCACUUCCAUAAUAGACAGAAUAAAAUCAACAAUGAAAUACCUAGAAAAAGAAUGAAAGAACAGUGUUCAGAAAGUCUUAGAA